GACGAACGCUGGCGGCGUGCUUAACACAUGCAAGUCGAACGGAAAGGCCCUGCUUUUGUGGGGUGCUCGAGUGGCGAACGGGUGAGUAACACGUGAGUAAACUGCCCUUGACUUUGGGAUAACUUCAGGAAACUGGGGCUAAUACCGGAUAGGAGCUCCUGCUGCAUGGUGGGGGUUGGAAAGUUUCGGCGGUUGGGGAUGGACUCGCGGCUUCUCAGCUUGUUGGUGGGGUAGUGGCUUACCAAGGCUUUGACGGGUAGCCGGCCUGAGAGGGUGACCGGCCACAUUGGGACUGAGAUACGGCCCAGACUCCUACGGGAGGCAGCAGUGGAGAAUAGUGCACAAGGGGCGGAAGCCUGAUGCAGCAACGCCGCGUGCGGUAUGACGUCCUUCGGGUUGUAAACCGCUUUCGCCUGUGACGAAGCGUUAGUGACGGUAAUGGGUAAAGAAGCACCGGCUAACUACGUG
rnacentral:rRNA from 1 species